rnacentral:rRNA from 1 species
GAUGAACGCUGACAGAAUGCUUAACACAUCAGCAAUUGAUUGGUGGCGGACGGGUGAGUAACGCGUAAAGAACUUGCCUCCCAGGUAGGGACAACAUUUGGAAACGAAUGCUAAUACCUAAUCCUGUGAGAGAGCUUUGCGUCCCAUUAGCUCGUUGGCGAGGUAACGGCUCACCAAGGAGAGGAUGGGUAGCCGGACUGGGAGGGUGAUCGGCCACAAGGGGACAGGGACACGGCCAUUAGGCAAACGGGAGGAAUGAGUGGGGAAUAUUGGACAAUAGACCAAAGUCUGAUCAAGCAAUUCUGUGUGCACGAUGAAGUUUUCGGAAUGUAAAGUGCUUUCAGUUGGGAAGCGGUACCAACAGAAGAAGUGACGGCUAAAUACGUGCCAACAGCCGCGGUAAUAC